rnacentral:rRNA from 1 species
GGGAACUGAAACAUCUAAGUACCCCGAGGAAAAGAAAUCAACCGAGAUUCCCCCAGUAGCGGCGAGCGAACGGGGAGGAGCCCAGAGCCUGAAUCAGUGUGUGUGUUAGUGGAAGCGUCUGGAAAGGCGUGCGAUACAGGGUGACAGCCCCGUACACAAAAAUGCACAUAUUGUGAGCUCGAUGAGUAGGGCGGGACACGUGGUAUCCUGUCUGAAUAUGGGGGGACCAUCCUCCAAGGCUAAAUACUCCUGACUGACCGAUAGUGAACCAGUACCGUGAGGGAAAGGCGAAAAGAACCCCGGCGAGGGGAGUGAAAAAGAACCUGAAACCGUGUACGUACAAGCAGUGGGAGCCUCUUUAUGGGGUGACUGCGUACCUUUUGUAUAAUGGGUCAGCGACUUAUAUUCUGUAGCAAGGUUAACCGAAUAGGGGAGCCGAAGGGAAACCGAGUCUUAACUGGGCGUUAAGUUGCAGGGUAUAGACCCGAAACCCGGUGAUCUAGCCAUGGGCAGGUUGAAGGUUGGGUAACACUAACUGGAGGACCGAACCGACUAAUGUUGAAAAAUUAGCGGAUGACUUGUGGCUGGGGGUGAAAGGCCAAUCAAACCGGGAGAUAGCUGGUUCUCCCCGAAAGCUAUUUAGGUAGCGCCUCGUGAAUUCAUCUCCGGGGGUAGAGCACUGUUUCGGCAAGGGGGUCAUCCCGACUUACCAACCCGAUGCAAACUGCGAAUACCGGAGAAUGUUAUCACGGGAGACACACGGCGGGUGCUAACGUCCGUCGUGAAGAGGGAAACAACCCAGACCGCCAGCUAAGGUCCCAAAGUCAUGGUUAAGUGGGAAACGAUGUGGGAAGGCCCAGACAGCCAGGAUGUUGGCUUAGAAGCAGCCAUCAUUUAAAGAAAGCGUAAUAGCUCACUGGUCGAGUCGGCCUGCGCGGAAGAUGUAACGGGGCUAAACCAUGCACCGAAGCUGCGGCAGCGACACUAUGUGUUGUUGGGUAGGGGAGCGUUCUGUAAGCCUGUGAAGGUGGCCUGUGAGGGUUGCUGGAGGUAUCAGAAGUGCGAAUGCUGACAUAAGUAACGAUAAAGCGGGUGAAAAGCCCGCUCGCCGGAAGACCAAGGGUUCCUGUCCAACGUUAAUCGGGGCAGGGUGAGUCGACCCCUAAGGCGAGGCCGAAAGGCGUAGUCGAUGGGAAACAGGUUAAUAUUCCUGUACUUGGUGUUACUGCGAAGGGGGGACGGAGAAGGCUAUGUUGGCCGGGCGACGGUUGUCCCGGUUUAAGCGUGUAGGCUGGUUUUCCAGGCAAAUCCGGAAAACCAAGGCUGAGGCGUGAUGACGAGGCACUACGGUGCUGAAGCGACAAAUGCCCUGCUUCCAGGAAAAGCCUCUAAGCAUCAGGUAACAUCAAAUCGUACCCCAAACCGACACAGGUGGUCAGGUAGAGAAUACCAAGGCGCUUGAGAGAACUCGGGUGAAGGAACUAGGCAAAAUGGUGCCGUAACUUCGGGAGAAGGCACGCUGAUAUGUAGGUGAAGCGACUUGCUCGUGGAGCUGAAAUCAGUCGAAGAUACCAGCUGGCUGCAACUGUUUAUUAAAAACACAGCACUGUGCAAACACGAAAGUGGACGUAUACGGUGUGACGCCUGCCCGGUGCCGGAAGGUUAAUUGAUGGGGUUAGCGGUAACGCGAAGCUCUUGAUCGAAGCCCCGGUAAACGGCGGCCGUAACUAUAACGGUCCUAAGGUAGCGAAAUUCCUUGUCGGGUAAGUUCCGACCUGCACGAAUGGCGUAAUGAUGGCCAGGCUGUCUCCACCCGAGACUCAGUGAAAUUGAACUCGCUGUGAAGAUGCAGUGUACCCGCGGCAAGACGGAAAGACCCCGUGAACCUUUACUAUAGCUUGACACUGAACAUUGAGCCUUGAUGUGUAGGAUAGGUGGGAGGCUUUGAAGUGUGGACGCCAGUCUGCAUGGAGCCGACCUUGAAAUACCACCCUUUAAUGUUUGAUGUUCUAACGUUGGCCCGUAAUCCGGGUUGCGGACAGUGUCUGGUGGGUAGUUUGACUGGGGCGGUCUCCUCCUAAAGAGUAACGGAGGAGCACGAAGGUUGGCUAAUCCUGGUCGGACAUCAGGAGGUUAGUGCAAUGGCAUAAGCCAGCUUGACUGCGAGCGUGACGGCGCGAGCAGGUGCGAAAGCAGGUCAUAGUGAUCCGGUGGUUCUGAAUGGAAGGGCCAUCGCUCAACGGAUAAAAGGUACUCCGGGGAUAACAGGCUGAUACCGCCCAAGAGUUCAUAUCGACGGCGGUGUUUGGCACCUCGAUGUCGGCUCAUCACAUCCUGGGGCUGAAGUAGGUCCCAAGGGUAUGGCUGUUCGCCAUUUAAAGUGGUACGCGAGCUGGGUUUAGAACGUCGUGAGACAGUUCGGUCCCUAUCUGCCGUGGGCGCUGGAGAACUGAGGGGGGCUGCUCCUAGUACGAGAGGACCGGAGUGGACGCAUCACUGGUGUUCGGGUUGUCAUGCCAAUGGCACUGCCCGGUAGCUAAAUGCGGAAGAGAUAAGUGCUGAAAGCAUCUAAGCACGAAACUUGCCCCGAGAUGAGUUCUCCCUGAGACUUAGAGUCUCCUGAAGGAACGUUGAAGACGACGACGUUGAUAGGCCGGGUGUGUAAGCGCAGCGAUGCGUUGAGCUAACCGGUACUAAUGAACCGUGAGGCUUAACCUU